rnacentral:rRNA from 1 species
GAUGAACGCUAGCUACAGGCUUAACACAUGCAAGUCGAGGGGAAACGAUAUUGGAAGCUUGCUUCCGAUAGGCGUCGACCGGCGCACGGGUGAGUAACGCGUAUCCAACCUGCCCACCACUUGGGGAUAACCUUGCGAAAGUAAGACUAAUACCCAAUGAUAUCUCUAGAAGACAUCUGAAGGAGAUUAAAGAUUCAUCGGUGAUGGAUGGGGGUGCGUCUGAUUAGCUUGUUGGCGGGGUAACGGCCCACCAAGGCGACGAUCAGUAGGGGUUCUGAGAGGAAGGUCCCCCACAUUGGAACUGAGACACGGUCCAAACUCCUACGGGAGGCAGCAGUGAGGAAUAUUGGUCAAUGGGCGAGAGCCUGAACCAGCCAAGUAGCGUGCAGGAUGACGGCCCUAUGGGUUGUAAACUGCUUUUAUAAGGGAAUAAAGUGGGUCUCGUGAGACUUUUUGCAUGUACCUUAUGAAUAAGGACCGGCUAAUUCCGUGCCAGCCGCCGCCGUAA